CAGGCGCGCCGCUCGCCCUGUUCGCAGACGCAGGAGGACCCGCAGGUCCUCCCAUGUCCACAGACGCAGGAGAGUUGUCCGACGCAGGCGCUAGGCAACGCCAAUAAACAUGUAUUCUUAGGGCAAGA